UACAUUUAGAUAUACAGGAUGGUGAAAUAACAGCGAGGCCUUUUGAUGGUGCUGUAGUGUUAGAGGUGUGGAGAAGGCCCUGGGGAGCCACUUGGUCCUCAUAAAACAAGCUGUGAUAGGUGAGCUUUUCCCUCAGGUGGGUUAUAGGGUGAUCUUCUGGAGAGGUUAUCCUGCACGAACAUCUCUCCUAUCCAUCAUCGCUGAGCUAGUGGCAAGGAUAGAUAAAGAAGGGUCAGGUAGUCAGAGUUGUAUCUCUAUGGGUUCAUCCUGGCCCACAUUUUCUUUCACUUCCAUGGGUUCCUCCUCAUCAUCUUUUCCAUCAGCUUUCAUGGGUUAUUCUUGAUCCAGUUCUCCAUAUUCCAGGGAUUCCUACUGAUGCGGUUCUAUAUCCUUCUCCAUGGACUCCCCCUGAUCGAGUUCUUCACCCACCUUCAUGCACUCUUCCUGGGCCAGUUCUUGAUGAACUUUAGUGGGUUGAUCUUCAUCCAAAAUCAUGGUGAACAGACUUGCUAGAUUGUAAUUUGCCGUGGUGGUGCUGGGGAACCUUCAGCAGUUCUGUGUGAAAGAUAGCAACACUUUGGUUACGUGUUUUGUCCAAAAUGGUGUUGUCGAGGGUCCAGGUGGGCUGGUGUUAACAGUUCAGUGUGCUAAGCUUUAUACACUCUUAGGACCACAACAAGUAAGGUGUGUUAAUGGGCAAUGGUCAGAGCUGCCUGUUUGUAAAGGUCAGUAUCACUUGUAGUUCAAAUCAGUUUAAAUUUAAAAAGUGGAAAACUUUUUUGAUCUUUUUUUUUUACAUUUAAUCCCGUUUCUCUGUUUCCUCAGCUUCAUGUAGACUGGAUCAGUCAAUGUUUUAUUUUCCUGAGAGAGUACAUGCCGCAGGGCGAAGAGGAGGUGUUUUUUUUGUUCUCGCUUUUCCACAGUGCAAGUCAAAUGUGAUGAUGGAAGAGUGCUCUAUAGAGGAUGUGGUCGCAAUGAGCGGUGAUAUCUGCGUGUGCGGCACUUCUUACUGCUGCAGCUGCUGCUGAUAUACUCAAACCUGCAGAGGGACUGGAAGAAAUUACAACCCAAAUGUUUCAACUUUUAAGCAUUACUGUAACAUUGCUUUCCUUUUCCAGAACAAAUGUUCUUAUUUUAACCAGAAUAAAGGCACUUCCUUAAACA